AUACGUAGGGUCCAAGCGUUAAUCGGAAUUACUGGGCGUAAAGCGUGCGCAGGCGGUUGUGCAAGACCGAUGUGAAAUCCCCGAGCUUAACUUGGGAAUUGCAUUGGUGACUGCACGGCUAGAGUGUGUCAGGGGGGGGUAGAAUUCCACGUGUAGCAGUGAAAUGCGUAGAGAUGUGGAGGAAUACCGAUGGCGAAGGCAGCCCCCUGGGAUAACACUGACGCUCAUGCACGAAAGCGUGGGGAGCAAACAGGAUUAGAUACCCUGGUAGUCCACGCCCUAAACGAUGUCAACUAGUUGUUGGGGAUUCAUUUCCUUAGUAACGUAGCUAACGCGUGAAGUGGACCGCCUGGGGAGUACGGUCGCAAGAUUAAA
rnacentral:rRNA from 1 species